UGGGGAAUUUUUCGCAAUGGGGGAAACCCUGACGAAGCAACGCCGCGUGGAGGAUGAAGGCCUUCGGGUCGUAAACUCCUGUCGACUGGGACGAACGUGGUCCGACCCAAUACGUCGGGCCAUCGACUGUACCGGUGGAGGAAGCCACGGCUAACUCUGUGCCAGCAGCCGCGGUAAUACAGAGGUGGCAAGCGUUGUUCGGAAUUACUGGGCGUAAAGGGCGCGUAGGCGGUCAGGUCAGUCCCGUGUGAAAUCCCUCGGCUCAACUGAGGAACUGCACGGGAAACUGCCUGGCUUGAGUUCGGGAGAGGGAAGCGGAAUUCCGGGUGUAGCGGUGAAAUGCGUAGAUAUCCGGAGGAACACCGGUGGCGAAGGCGGCUUCCUGGACCGACACUGACGCUGAGGCGCGAAAGCUAGGGGAGCAAACGG
rnacentral:rRNA from 1 species